rnacentral:rRNA from 1 species
AACGAACGCUGGCGGCAUGCCUAACACAUGCAAGUCGAACGAGACCUUCGGGCCUAGUGGCGCACGGGUGCGUAACGCGUGGGAACCUGCCCUUAGGUUCGGAAUAACUCCCCGAAAGGGGUGCUAAUACCGGAUAAUGUCUUCGGACCAAAGAUUUAUCGCCUUUGGAUGGGCCCGCGUUGGAUUAGCUAGUUGGUAGGGUAAAAGCCUACCAAGGCGACGAUCCAUAGCUGGUCUGAGAGGAUGAUCAGCCACACUGGGACUGAGACACGGCCCAGACUCCUACGGGAGGCAGCAGUGGGGAAUAUUGGACAAUGGGCGAAAGCCUGAUCCAGCAAUGCCGCGUGAGUGAUGAAGGCCUUAGGGUUGUAAAGCUCUUUUAGCCGGGAUGAUAAUGACAGUACCGGGAGAAUAAGCACCGGCUAACUCCGUG